AAGAACGCUGGCGGCGUGCUUAACACAUGCAAGUCGCACGAGAACGUCUUAGCUUGCUAAGAUCAGUAAAGUGGCGCACGGGUGAGUAACGCGUGGGUAAUCUACCUCCGAAUUGGGGAUAACAUUGCGAAAGCGAUGCUAAUACCGGAUAAUAUCUUAAAAACUUCGGUUUUAAAGAUCAAAGGUGGCCUCUACAUGUAAGCCUCUGUUUGGAGAUGAGCCCGCGUACCAUUAGCUUGUUGGUAGGGUAAUGGCCUACCAAGGCGACGAUGGUUAGCUGGUCUGAGAGGAUGAUCAGCCACACUGGAACUGACACACGGUCCAGACUCCUACGGGAGGCAGCAGUGAGGAAUUUUGCGCAAUGGGGGAAACCCUGACGCAGCAACGCCGCGUGAGUGAUGAGGGCUUUCGGGUCGUAAAGCUCUGUCAAGUGGGAAGAACCCACAUGGUGAUAAUACCACCAUGUGCUGACGGUACCACUAAAGGAAGCACCGGCUAACUCCGUGCCAGCAGCCGCGGUAAUACGGGGGGUG
rnacentral:rRNA from 1 species